UACAGAGGGUGCAAGCGUUGUUCGGAAUCAUUGGGCGUAAAGCGCGCGUAGGCGGCCCGGUAAGUCCGCUGUAAAAAAUCCAGGGCUCAACCCUGGAAAGCCGGUGGAUACUGUCGGGCUAGAGUCCGGAAGAGGCGAGUGGAAUUCCUGGUGGUAGCGGUGAAAUGCGGCAGAGUAUCAAGGAAGAACACCCGUGGCUAAGGCGGCUCUCUAGUACGGUACUGACGC
rnacentral:rRNA from 1 species